UUUUUUGCCAUGCCACGUGGCUUGCAAGAUCGUAGUUCUCUGACCACGGAUUGAAACUGGGCCUUUGGCAGUGAAAGAAGAGCCUUAACCACUGGACCAUCAGGGAAUUCAAGACAUUAUCACUCUUAAGACUCAUGUCACGUGAAAACUUGUUCUCCUCCUGGGGGAAGAAGAAAUGAAUCUGGACUCUUCCAGGAAAAAUGUCAGCUGUUGGUCUGUUGUCUGAACCUCUCACCAGGUACAGGCCUGUCUCGGUGCCCUUCUCCAAGCUGGUGUCCAGCCUCUGCGUGGCCAUUCCCUCUGAUGGAGGAGGCCCUGGGAACUACCCACGCCUGGACACCCUGGGCCUGGGAGCUCACCCAAAUCAGAAGAAUGGAGAGGGCAUUAUGAAAGAGUCAGACCUGAAGAGUAAGACCUCCCUCAGGUGACAGAGCUGGAGCCAGAGCUGGUGGCAGGAUUCUGACUUUGAAGAGGAUGAGACACAUUGGGAUGAGAAGGCUGAAUGGCCUCUCAGUCUGAGUUGAAAGGAGGUGAAUUUCAACCCUUUUCCCACAUGGUGGGCUUGGGAGCAUGGGGCCCACCGCUAGUGUUCUUUCUUACCCAAGGGAAUGCAGACCUG